CAAAACUCUUUUGCUGUGGACUUUGGUCUUUGUGUUUAAAACUCUUCAGAUUACUGGAUUCUUAUCCAGAACUCUGAAGUUAACUACUAUCAGCAGAAAAUGUUAGAAAUUAUUUAUUUUUUCUCUCCCUUUUCUCUAGAUGGGGCAUUACAGAUAUUUAGUAUAAGAAAGGUGAGGUCUGAAAUGUUGUUAUCUGUUUUUUGUAGAUGACAAGUUUUUUAGAUAGUUCAAUUUGUUUUUUUAGAAUAAGCAAGAAUAAUUUUGUAGAUAAUUAAAUGGGCUGUUCACAAACCUCAAGUUCAUUUACUUUGGGUAUAUGUAGUAAGAAUACCAAGGAGAAACGUAAACAGGUAGCGUUUGCAUAUUUUGAUCUAUAGAGCCCGUUGUGAUUGU
rnacentral:lncRNA from 1 species